rnacentral:rRNA from 1 species
GACGAACGCUGGCGGCGUGCUUAACACAUGCGAGUCGAACGGAAAGGCCCUGCUUUUGUGGGGUGCUCGAGUGGCGAACGGGUGAGUAACACGUGAGUAACCUGCCCUUGACUUUGGGAUAACUUCAGGAAACUGGGGCUAAUACCGGAUAGGAGCUCCUGCUGCAUGGUGGGGGUUGGAAAGUUUCGGCGGUUGGGGAUGGACUCGCGGCUUAUCAGCUUGUUGGUGGGGUUGUGGCUUACCAAGGCUUUGACGGGUAGCCGGCCUGAGAGGGUGACCGGCCACAUUGGGACUGAGAUACGGCCCAGACUCCUACGGGAGGCAGCAGUGGGGAAUAUUGCACAAUGGGCGGAAGCCUGAUGCAGCAACGCCGCGUGCGGGAUGACGGCCUUCGGGUUGUAAACCGCUUUCGCCUGUGACGAAGCGUGAGUGACGGUAAUGGGUAAAGAAGCACCGGCUAACUACGUG